GUGUACCUGUUGUGGCGCCAGCUGCAUUGCAGGGUAGCUACGUUCGGAUGAGAUAAGCGCUGAAAGCAUCUAAGCACGAAACUCAUCUCAAGAUAAGAUUUCUUUUAAGGGUCGUUAUAGACGAUGACGUUGAUAGGUCACAAGUGUAAGUGUAGAAAUACAUUCAGCUGAGUGAUACUAAUUACCCGUAGACUUUGAGAU
rnacentral:rRNA from 1 species